rnacentral:rRNA from 1 species
GAUCCUGGCUCAGGAUGAACGCUAGCUACAGGCUUAACACAUGCAAGUCGAGGGGCAGCAUGAACUUAGCUUGCUAAGUUUGAUGGCGACCGGCGCACGGGUGAGUAACACGUAUCCAACCUGCCGAUGACUCGGGGAUAGCCUUUCGAAAGAAAGAUUAAUACCCGAUGGCAUAGUUCCUCCGCAUGGUAGAACUAUUAAAGGACUUCGGUCAUCGAUGGGGAUGCGUUCCAUUAGGUUG